UCCUUCAAAGCAAGUUGAAAAGGAGCAAUCAUUUAAUUGCUACGAAUCUGAUGAAGAUGAUGACCCAGCUGUGAAAGUUAAAAAAAUUCUUGAAUAUGAAAAGAAAAAAUUCAUGAGUGAAAGGCUUGGUAGGAGAACUAGUAGGACAGAAGUUGACAAGUAUUUGGCUGAAGAAAUUGAGAUGGAUAAGGAUGAUUUUAAUAUUUUAAGUUGGUGGAAGUUGAAUGGGCCUAGAUUUCCCAUUCUCUCAAUUGGCAAGGGAUGUUUUGGCUGUCCCAAUUUCUACUGUUGCUUCUGAGUCUACUUUCAGCACUGGAGGACGUGUGCUAGAUUCAUCUAGGAGCUCUUUAACUCCUAAAGUUGUGCAAUCUCUUGUUUGUGGUCAAGACUGGCUUCACCACUCACUUCCGGUUCUAGUAGAAGAGAAGAUAGAUGACGCACAAAAGAUUGAGAGAGAUCUUCAAAAAAUUGCUAUAGAAGCGAAUGUGGAUGUACUAUGAGCCUUUGUUCUUAAUGACUUGAGUCAUGGCAGCAACAGCACCUGAGGCUGAGGAAUCACAAUUUGAUGCUCGUCAAUAUGACACCAAAAUUAAUGAAUUGUUGCAAGAUGCUAGUGCUAUGGUACUCCAUUUAUGAAGGUUGCUUAUUUUAUUUUGUUUUACUAAUUUGGAUAUUUGAUUAUUGU